AGAGUUUGAUCCUGGCUCAGAACGAACGCUGGCGGCAGGCCUAACACAUGCAAGUCGAGCGCCCGCAAGGGAGCGGCAGACGGGUGAGUAACGCGUGGGAACGUGCCCUUUGGUUCGGAAUAUUCCCGGGAAACUGGGAGCAAAACCGGAUAAGCCCUUCGGGGGAAAGUUUACGCCAAAGGAUCGGCCCGCGUUAGAUUAGGUAGUUGGUGGGGUAACGGCCUACCAAGCCUACGAUCUAUAGCUGAUCUGAGAGGAUGAUCAGCCACACUGGGACUGAGACACGGCCCAGACUCCUACGGGAGGCAGCAGUGGGGAAUCUUGGACAAUGGGCGCAAGCCUGAUCCAGCCAUGCCGCGUGGAUGACUGAAGGCCCUAGGGUUGUAAAGUCCUUUCGACGGGGACGAUAAUGACGGUACCCGUAGAAGAAGCCCCGGCUAACUUCGUGCCAGCAGCCGCGGUAAUACGAAGGGGGCUAGCGUUGUUCGGAUUUACUGGGCGUAAAGGGCGCGUAGGCGGAUUUUUAAGUCGGGGGUGAAAUCCCGGAGCUCAACUCCGGAGCUGCCUUCGAUACUGGAAGUCUGGAGCACGGUAGAGGUGAGUGGAAUUCCGAGUGUAGCGGUGAAAUGCGUAGA
rnacentral:rRNA from 1 species